UGGUAUCCUGUCUGAAUAUGGGGGGACCAUCCUCCAAGGCUAAAUACUCCUGACUGACCGAUAGUGAACCAGUACCGUGAGGGAAAGGCGAAAAGAACCCCGGCGAGGGGAGUGAAAAAGAACCUGAAACCGUGUACGUACAAGCAGUGGGAGCACAGGUUUACCUGUGUGACUGCGUACCUUUUGUAUAAUGGGUCAGCGACUUAUAUUCUGUAGCAAGGUUAACCGAAUAGGGGAGCCGGAGGGAAACCGAGUCUUAAUUGGGCGUUAAGUUGCAGGGUAUAGACCCGAAACCCGGUGAUCUAGCCAUGGGCAGGUUGAAGGUUGGGUAACACUAACUGGAGGACCGAACCGACUAAUGUUGAAAAAUUAGCGGAUGACCUGUGGCUGGGGGUGAAAGGCCAAUCAAACCGGGAGAUAGCUGGUUCUCCCCGAAAGCUAUUUAGGUAGCGCCUCGUGAAUUCAUCUCCGGGGGUAGAGCACUGUUUCGGCUAGGGGGCCAUCCCGGCUUACCAACCCGAUGCAAACUGCGAAUACCGGAGAAUGUUAUCACGGGAGACACACGGCGGGUGCUAACGUCCGUCGUGAAGAGGGAAACAACCCAGACCGCCAGCUAAGGUCCCAAAGUCAUGGUUAAGUGGGAAACGAUGUGGGAAGGCCCAGACAGCCAGGAUGUUGGCUUAGAAGCAGCCAUCAUUUAAAGAAAGCGUAAUAGCUCACUGGUCGAGUCGGCCUGCGCGGAAGAUGUAACGGGGCUAAACCAUGCACCGAAGCUGCGGCAGCGACGCUGAUGCGUUGUUGGGUAGGGGAGCGUUCUGUAAGCCUGCGAAGGUGGCCUGUGAGGGUUGCUGGAGGUAUCAGAAGUGCGAAUGCUGACAUAAGUAACGAUAAAGCGGGUGAAAAGCCCGCUCGCCGGAAGACCAAGGGUUCCUGUCCAACGUUAAUCGGGGCAGGGUGAGUCGACCCCUAAGGCGAGGCCGAAAGGCGUAGUCGAUGGGAAACGGGUUAAUAUUCCCGUACUUGGUGUUACUGCGAAGGGGGGACGGAGAAGGCUAUGUUGGCCGGGCGACGGUU
rnacentral:rRNA from 1 species